rnacentral:tRNA from 1 species
GGGGGUGUGGCUCAGGGGUAAAGUGCUUACCUUGCAAACACAAGGCCCUGGGUUUGAUCCCCAACACCUCCA